rnacentral:rRNA from 1 species
UCCUACGGGAGGCAGCAGUGGGGAAUACUGCACAAUGGGCGCAAGCCUGAUGCAGCAACGCCGCGUGAGGGACGAAGGCCUUCGGGUUGUAAACCUCUUUUAGUAGGGAAGAAGCGACUGGGUUUUCCUGGUAGUGACGGUACCUGCAGAAAAAGCACCGGCUAACUACGUGCCAGCAGCCGCGGUAAUACGUAGGGUGCAAGCGUUGUCCGGAAUUAUUGGGCGUAAAGAGCUCGUAGGCGGUUUGUCGCGUCUGCUGUGAAAACCCGAGGCUCAACCUCGGGCCUGCAGUGGGUACGGGCAGACUAGAGUGCGGUAGGGGAGAUUGGAAUUCCUGGUGUAGCGGUGGAAUGCGCAGAUAUCAGGAGGAACACCAAUGGCGAAGGCAGAUCUCUGGGCCGUAACUGACGCUGAGGAGCGAAAGCAUGGGGAGCGAACAGGAUUAGAUACCCUGGUAGUCCAUGCCGUAAACGUUGGGAACUAGAUGUGGGGACCAUUCCACGGUCUCCGUGUCGCAGCUAACGCAUUAAGUUCCCCGCCUGGGGAGUACGGCCGCAAGGCUAAAACUCAAAGGAAUUGACGGGGGCCCGCACAAGCGGCGGAGCAUGCGGAUUAAUUCGAUGCAACGCGAAGAACCUUACCAAGGCUUGACAUAUACCGGAAACGGCUGGAAACAGUCGCCCCGCAAGGUCGGUAUACAGGUGGUGCAUGGUUGUCGUCAGCUCGUGUCGUGAGAUGUUGGGUUAAGUCCCGCAACGAGCGCAACCCUCGUCCUAUGUUGCCAGCACGUAAUGGUGGGAACUCAUGGGAUACUGCCGGGGUCAACUCGGAGGAAGGUGGGGAUGACGUCAAAUCAUCAUGCCCCUUAUGUCUUGGGCUUCACGCAUGCUACAAUGGCCGGUACAAAGGGCUGCGAUACCGCAAGGUGGAGCGAAUCCCAAAAAGCCGGUCUCAGUUCGGAUUGAGGUCUGCAACUCGACCUCAUGAAGUCGGAGUCGCUAGUAAUCGCAGAUCAGCAACGCUGCGGUGAAUACGUUCCCGGGCCUUGUACACACCGCC